UACGAAGGGGGCUAGCGUUGUUCGGAAUUACUGGGCGUAAAGCGCACGUAGGCGGCUUUGUAAGUUAGAGGUGAAAGCCCGGGGCUCAACUCCGGAAUUGCCUUUAAGACUGCAUCGCUAGAAUUGUGGAGAGGUAAGUGGAAUUCCGAGUGUAGAGGUGAAAUUCGUAGAUAUUUGGAAGAACACCAGUGGCGAAGGCGACUUACUGGACACAUAUUGACGCUGAGGUGCGAAAGCGUGGGGAGCAAACAGG
rnacentral:rRNA from 1 species